rnacentral:rRNA from 1 species
AUUGAACGCUGGCGGCAGGCCUAACACAUGCAAGUCGAGCGGAUGAAGGGAGCUUGCUCCUGGCUUCAGCGGCGGACGGGUGAGUAAUGCCUAGGAAUCUGCCUGGUAGUGGGGGAUAACGUCCGGAAACGGGCGCUAAUACCGCAUACGUCCUGAGGGAGAAAGUGGGGGAUCUUCGGACCUCACGCUAUCAGAUGAGCCUAGGUCGGAUUAGCUAGUUGGUGGGGUAAAGGCCUACCAAGCCGACGAUCCGUAACUGGUCUGAGAGGAGGAUCAGUCACACUGGAACUGAGACACGGUCCAGACUCCUACGGGAGGCAGCAGUGGGGAAUAGUGGACAAUGGGCGAAAGCCUGAUCCAGCCAUGCCGCGUGUGUGAAGAAGGUCUUCGGAUUGUAAAGCACUUUAAGUUGGGAGGAAGGGCAGUAAGUUAAUACCUUGCUGUUUUGACGUUACCAACAGAAUAAGCACCGGCUAACUUCGUG